GGAAAUGAGGCAACCCUAGGUUGGAGAAGAACAUCAUAACCAAAAGUUUGGAUAUUUGCUGAAAAUUAAGUUGGGGUUUCGACGUGAUGACAUGGAUGAUGAGUCAAUGAAUCAAAGACAAGUUGGAUGCUGCAAAGGGGGCACUUCAACAAAAGGAAAAAAAGCAAGAUUGCAAAAGGAAGAAAAUAUAUUUUGGGAAUAGAAGAGCGCCUCGAUAGGCGAGGAUGUUUCGACAAAAUUUGUCCCCAAAAGCCUGCCGACACCCAAGACUGGCUUUAAGAAGCUAGUUGAAGCCUCUGUAUAUGAUGUGUGAUCUAGGAGACUUAGUGAAAAUUCAUGCAAGAGGAAAAUCUAUUUUGAUCGACCAGAGGUAGUUAAGGAAUAAAAUGAAGUUAAAAUAA